GCCCGGGUGGCGGAAUUGGUAGACGCUGCGGACUUAAAAUCCGUUGACCGAGAGGUCGUGCGAGUUCAAGUCUCGCCCCGGGCACCA
rnacentral:tRNA from 2 species